GACGAACGCUGGCGGCGUGCUUAACACAUGCAAGUCGAACGGAAAGGCCCUGCUUUUGUGGGGUGCUCGAGUGGCGAACGGGUGAGUAACACGUGAGUAACCUGCCCUUGACUUUGGGAUAACUUCAGGAAACUGGGGCUAAUACCGGAUAGGAGCUCCUGCUGCAUGGUGGGGGUUGGAAAGUUUCGGCGGUUGGGGAUGGACUCGCGGCUUAUCAGCUUGUUGGCGGGGUAGUGGCUUACCAAGGCUUUGACGGGUAGCCGGCCUGAGAGGGUGACCGGCCACAUUGGGACUGAGAUACGGCCCAGAAUCCUACGGGAGGCAGCAGUGGGGAAUAUUGCAAAAUGGGCGGAAGCCUGAUGAAGCAACGCCGGGUGCGGGAUGACGGCCUUCGGGUUGUAAACAGAUUUCGACUGUGACGAAGAGUGAGUGACGGUAAUGGGUAAAGAAGCACCGGCUAACUACGUG
rnacentral:rRNA from 1 species